ensembl:lncRNA
UAUAUAUAUAUAUAUAUAUAUAUGUAUGUAUGUAUUUGUUUGUUUAUUUAUUUAUUAUAUAUAUAUUUAUUAAUAUAUGCAUAUUAUUGUAUAAUUUUAGCAAUUACUGUAAAACAAUUAUGGCUGAGACUGGAUAUUAAUAAGGCACACAGGAAAUUUCUGUUUAGUUUCCAAACCAUCACAGAAUUUCCAAUCACAUCCGAAUUCUGCUCGCAAUAGUAAAGACUGGAAUAUCGUACCUUUUAUAUUAUUUGCUUCCAUUGCAAAUUAAUGCAGCAAUAAGCAUUUAAGUCUAUGUAUUUAUGUAUUUAUUCCACUCCUUUGUAAUGGAUUGAUAUGCUUUAAAAUGACUUUUGUUAAGUCUUAACAACAACUUGUUUAAUGGCUUUAGAGCAUGUUUCACAGUACAUAUUAAUAAUGUAGCCUAAAUUAGAACUCAGCUUAUGUACAAGCACUGAAAAUAGAUAUAGAAAGUGAACACUUUCAGUUCUCAGAAAGGGUAAAAAAAAAAAAAAAAAAAACCUCUCCCAAGAAAAUUCCUAUCAAGUGAUUUAGCAACCUCAGGCAGGUGAAAAAGCAACAGUGAAAAGUUUUUAUAUUCAUAUCUUGGGUGUAGAAAGAAACCAGCUAUAAGUUGUGUUUAUGAAAUUAUACCUAUUUCAUAACGUACCACACAUCCAACACAGGCAUUAAAAUAAUGUAUGCUGUUACUUGCUGGAUCAAGUGCUGUCUGAAAACAUGUCUUUACUAAAUACCCACAGAACAAGAGUGUACAUCUUUAAGACUUCUGUCACACCCACUCCUUUCAUGUAAAAACACACCUUUAAACCUAAAAUGUAGCCUACUGAUAAGAGAGUGGACAAGUUGACAGAAAAUUCUUGUGAACUUGCAUAUUUAAAAAAAAAAAUAUUGCAAACUUUUGCACAUAUUCUCCAAACUUGUAUAAGACAAGUCACUUUUUACCUGAGUGUGUUUGACAUGUUAUUUUAUUUUAUUAUUUUUUAUGCAUUUUUAAAGUUUGCCACCAUAUAUUUUAUACUCUGCAACACUAUACAGAUUAUUUGAAUGUGUCAGUUAUUUGAUGAGUAAAUAUAAAGAAAACCAUAUAGUGCAUAUAGCAUACUUGCUUUAGGAGAUUACUUUUAAAGAACUGUAUAAAUUAAAACACAAAUAAAAAAGAAUGCUAAAUAUCAGUUUUGAGUUUCCUGUUUAUCAGAAAAUCAAGUCGGCUGGAUAUUUUAGGUUUCCCAAACCACCAGUAGUACUGAGGUGCCACCCCACACACUAACAUGUCUGUGUCAUGCCUGUAUGAAGAAUGAUCUAUUAAGUGAUAUGAUUCACCAAAAACCACACGGUAAAUUGUGGUCCUGUAGUGGUCUCUAGAGAGU